CGCUGAGUUUGAUCCUGGCUCAGGACGAACGCUUGCGGCGUGCCUAAGAAAUGCAAGUCGAACGGGGGCUUCGGCCCCAGUGGCGAACGGUCGCGUAACACGUAAGCAACCUGCCCUGAAGUGGGGGACAACAUCCCGAAAGGGGUGCUAAUACCGCAUGUGGUCACGAGUCGGCAUCGACUUGUGUCUAAAGAUUUAUCGCUUCAGGAUGGGCUUGCGGCCUAUCAGGUAGUUGGUGGGGUAAUGGCCUACCAAGCCGACGACGGGUAGCUGGUCUGAGAGGACGAUCAGCCGGAUUGGGACUGAGAUACGGCCAGACUCCUACGGGGGGCAGCAAUUAGGAAUCUUGCGCAAUGGGGGAAACCCUGACGCAGCGACGUCGCGUGAAGGA
rnacentral:rRNA from 1 species